UUUUAAGUUGAAGGAAUCCCAAG
rnacentral:piRNA from 1 species